rnacentral:rRNA from 1 species
UACAGAGGUCCCAAGCGUUGUUCGGAUUCACUGGGCGUAAAGGGUGCGUAGGCGGUCGGGUAAGUCUGAUGUGAAAUCUCACAGCUUAACUGUGAAACUGCAUUGGAUACUAUUCGGCUAGAGAGUUGGAGGGGGGACUGGAAUUCUUGAUGUAGCAGUGAAAUGCGUAGAUAUCAAGAGGAACACCAGUGGCGAAGGCGAGUCCCUGGACAACUUCUGACGCUGAGGCACGAAAGCUAGGGGAGCAAACAGG